CGAGAAUGGAUUUUUGGCAAGGGCCAAGUUUUUGAAAAGUGCAUAAGCCAUGUUGAGUAAUUGAAUGAAAUCCAAUUAUUUAUAUGGGUUGGGAUGAAUUAUUUUAAUUGUCUCCUAUUACUCGGCUUUAGAUUAUUUUGAUGAUGUCUGUCUACUCAUUGGGAUUAUGUAAUCAUAAUCUCACCCCUCUUCCUAUCCAUUUUUCAGGCUCAGGAUAAUUUGUUGAUAGUUGAUUAAGACGAGAAUUAAUCUCGGAGUUGCAUAAUAAAAAGUAAGGGUUCAUAGCCCUACAUCUUCUUAGUCAGUUGGGAGCCCACGUGUCAUCGUAAAAGUAAUUUUAUUCUUCAGUUAUUUGAUUUAAAGUAUGUAUGAAUAUAUUUAGCUUUUACACCAUGUUUUUGGCGAGUUUCGGUAUUUUCGAAGAAAAAUGACGAAAAUGCCCCUGUGAGCCAGAAAGUAAUAUUUUAUUAUUUUGAUUUGGAAAUGACUUAUGAUUUUUUUGAAAUGUGAGAUUUAAUAACUGUCACUCACUGGGGAGAUGCGGAAGCUUAUGCUAAGCCUUGCGGGGUUUCGAUCGGCAUUCGGGGUAAUGAGUGCCUAUCGAGACGUUGCGACGGUUGUCACGGGCUCUAUGAGAGUUUCGGGUCGUGACAGAGUGAAGGUGUCUAACCUUGGCGAUCGGACCUUCCUAAAUCACCCAUUUACUUUCAACGAACAUAACUUGCAAUAUAUGAGCUCUUUCUCAAAAACCUAAUGCUUACCUUUUUCAUUAGUUAUCCAAUAUAAGACUCCUCUCCUCGUCACAAAAUGUGCUAGAAGGCACGUUUACUAGCAUGCCCCUCACUUAUGUGUGUGUAUAUAUAUAUAAAUAUAAAUAAAUAUGACAUGAUAUACUAUUUCAUGCAACAAGUCAAAUAAUUUGAUUGUUCACAAAUGACAUCCAAUAGGUGUUCAAGGCCCCAGCAUCCAGG
rnacentral:lncRNA from 1 species